AUUUUACGCAAUGGGGGAAACCCUGACGUAGCGACACCGCGUGAGCGAAGAAGCCCUUUGGGGUGUAAAGCUCUGUCAACAGGAACGAAACAAAUGACGGUACCUGUGGAGGAAGCAUCGGCUAACUACGUGCCAGCAGCCGCGGUAAGACGUAGGAUGCAAGCGUUGUCCGGAUUUAUUGGGCGUAAAGAGUUCGUAGGCGGUUUGUUAAGUCUGAUGUUAAAGACCGGGGCUCAACCUCGGAAAUGCAUUGGAUACUGGCAGACUGGAGUGCAGUAGAGGCUAGUGGAAUUCCCAGUGUAGCGGUGAAAUGCGUAGAUAUUGGGAAGAACACCGGUGGCGUAGGCGACUAGCUGGGCUGUAACUGACGCUGAGGAACGAAAGCCAGGGGAGCGAAUGGG
rnacentral:rRNA from 1 species